rnacentral:rRNA from 1 species
UCGGUAGCUUGCUACCGAGGAAAGUGGCGGACGGGUGAGUAAUGUGUAGAGAAUCUGCCCUAGAGCGGGGGACAACAGCUGGAAACGGUUGCUAAUACCCCAUAUGAGCGUACCUGAGAUGGUAUUCUUGAAAACUCCGGUGCUCAAGGAUGAGUCUGCAUCUGAUUAGCUAGUUGGCGGGGUAAUGGCCCACCAAGGCGACGAUCAGUAGCCGGACUGAGAGGUUGAACGGCCACAUUGGGACUGAGAUACGGCCCAGACUCC